UUUAUUAUUAUUUUUAAAUAUGCAGUUUUGACCUGUGGGGAAAAUGGUUUCAGUACAUAUGUGCUAUGUGUGUGUACAAUAAAAGAUUUAGACUUCACUUUGACUCUAACAGUUAACUGCUGUAGUAGACUGUUUUCAGUUUUUUUUCUCUCUCUCAGUGUUAUAUGAAGAAGGAAUGAAGGAUGGACAGAGGUGUUAUUGAACCCUAACCAUUGCUCUGCAGAAUUCUGAAUUUUGAAUGAGAUGAUGAAUCGAUUUGCUCACACAUUCAAUGAAGACGGCUUUGCAUUAAGGAAGAUGGGGAAGUGAGAGACAAACUUUGUGGUUGUUCGUGGACAAAGUCUUUGAAAACUUGUUGUCAAUAGAGAUUUUAUUUGCAUUAACCUCUGCUGUUAAGAGGUUCGAUGAUGAGGAAUAGAUUUUUGCUACAUCCAGCUCAUCUCACACUGAGAUGGAGAGAUAAGUAAAAAAAAAAAAAAUUAGGAGUAAAACUAGUGGGGUAGAAAGUGAAUUAAGAAGAGGGAAAAAAUAAAAAGAGCAGGUUUGUGGAGCAGUCGCAGAAGACAGGGCUAUGAGUGGGAAAAUGGGGAGUUUACCACCUGCUGGUUUGGUUAUUCUUGGCAGUGUAUUUUCUCAUGAGAUGUUGGGGCACUUGUUCCUGCUGGGAUUGCCUUAUGGAGGGGUUACUGCUUGUGUUUUCUCAUGAGGUCUAGUGUGUUAUUGGUUUCCUCCACUCCAGCAUGCUGAGGUGAAUUACUAGUGUGACGACUUGGACAAAAGGACAAGAAGUGAAUUCUCUUCUCCUCACUUUUAUCAAGGUAAUUCAAGCCAAAGCAAGGCAGGAUUGUCAUUGAUUUUAAUUCAGCCAACUACCCCGGAUUGAAAACUUCCAGUGGUUUGGGGGUCGUACAGUCAUCAUAGACUGAGGAAUUUGGAGCAUGACAAUAAAUAUUCAUAAAACGCACUCAUUGUUUUUCUUGCUUAUGCACUUGUGAAGGUCUUUAUGGGUUUGACAGUGAUUACUUAAAUAGAUGUAGUUCACUGUUGUGCAGUUUUUGUUUUAAACCUUUGUUUCUUCAAAUUUUUAAACUUAUUGGAAUUAACUUUUGUCAGUCUUUUGAAUGUUUUUAAUGUUUUUCUUGGAUGUAUUUGCUCUAAUGCAUAACAUUCAAAAAAAUUAUCAGUUUACAUGCAAAAUAGCAGCCAGUUUGUGACCUUGGUUGAUGUGCCUUUUUUAAUUGAUUCUUUUAGAGUUUCCGUAUUUAUUAUGAGUGGGUUGACAAUGAGGACAUUAAAAUCAAGCUGGAUUCCAACAUUAACCAAA